GGUCGGGAGGUCCGGCGAAUACAACACCUGCUUGCAGGAAAUAGUCGGAGCAGUACCUGUUGCUGUUUCUAGCCUCCCGACCGCCUUACU
rnacentral:ncRNA from 1 species